GACGGCCGUACCAUGCUGAAUAUACCAGUUCUCGUUAGAUCACCGAAGUUAAGCAUCAUUGGGCGCGGUCAGUACUUGGGUGGGUGACCACCUGGGAACACUGCGUGCCGUU
rnacentral:rRNA from 1 species